CCACCCUCUCCAUCGAGCAUACAUAGGAUGUGUCAGUCUAUCCGAAACAUCAAUCUCUGACUCAAUGCUCUUACGAUCAGAAAUAUUUAAAAUUAGAAUUUUAGAAUUUUAGGUCUCACUAGAAUGACCUAUUCAUGUCUUCUAAAAUCAUUGUCCUAAUCUUUGGGGUUCAUCAUAAUCUUAGUCAUAAUAAGAUACAACUAAUAUGAUGAAUCAAUACUUCAUUUUAUUACCAAAUAAUAAAUGU
rnacentral:lncRNA from 1 species